GUGAACCUUUCCUCGUGAGCCGCGCGUCCCGUGGCUGGGGCGAGGAGCCCAUUGGACAUAACCACACCAAACCCUAGCCCCCCGUCCACAGCCACCCGCUCCUUCUCACAGCCGCCGCACCAUUCCUCCCUUCUGCCCCUCCUCCUUCCCGGAUCCCCACCACGGCAUCGACCUGCAGGCAAAGGGCGACAGCGGCGGCGCUCUAGGAGAGAGAAGAUGAGAGGGAGAGAGAGGAGGGAGAAAGAGAGGAAGAGGAGAGGAGGCACGACGUCGGAUGGGAGAGUGGCCAACCCGGCUCGCGUCGGCUGGGGCCGCACCCCUUCCCGAAGGGCGUCGAUGAUGGAGGGAUAUACCAGCGCCAUCCAGGCUCUCGGCCGACGGACUCGCUGGGUCGCCGCCCCUCCCGUGCGGUGGGGACAUCCACGACAGCGCGGGCGGGGACCGAGCGGCGGGGCCCGUGAUGCGUUCCGGUCAAGGGAUUGGUCGGGCCAGCGCAGGAUCUUAGCCGCCGUCGAUGGAUUUCUCGCAGCUUGGCUACCUGUAGCUUUGGAUCCGGCGAGCUCUCGUUGCCGGAUCACUGGCCAAUCAUCGGGUUGGCGGCCACGUCAGUUCCGCACCGCUGCCAGCGACCGCCGUUCUGUUGCCUUGGAUUCGGGUGUGGCGUUGGCUGGGAACCGUAUGGUGUUUGUCUGACGUGCCGUCCGCAUCGUGGGGGUUUGGUCGGUUGACUCUAGAGGCAACCUCAUUUUUGGACCAAAAAGAGGGGCGAUGACGAUGAUGACUGGCUGAAACAAUCAUGUCUUGAGCAAUCAAGACAACCUUGGCUUGUGGGACUAAACAAAGCUGAAAAAGUCGGUGUCACCGUUGGAGUUUCCCUUAGAGCCUACCCUUACCUUUGUUGUAGCCUGCUCAAUUUUAUUGCCGAUGUUGGAUGAUCUGUGCCUUGGACGGUCGUUCUGAUGAGUGAUACUCUGGGACUAGGUCUAUUUCAACACACACGAACCCAUUGACCUCCCAUGUUCCUGGGGAGCGUUGCAUGUCGGAAAAGUUAUGGUUUGUGUCACACAAAGUUCUGCAUUGACAUUUAGAAAGUUUAGCAGCGGGCAAUGCUCAAGACAGAGUUGGGCGCACAUCAUAUAUAUACAUAUGUUGUCGUGUCUUAAUAAAUGGAGAUGAGCAGAAGUAGAGAUGAAAUAGGCCGUUCUGUUGCUUCUGUGACCGGCGAGUGUUCAUUGCAUGCCUGUGUGUCGUUGUGCUCUGAUCGGUUGUUUUUUGUGUAUUUUCGCAUGUUGCACGAUCUCUGCUGUAGCUGUGUCGUUCGACUCAUCAAGAUAUACCACGAAGGGAAGAUCUGCCUCACUAUGCACUUCAGGGGCACAUACACUAGCGAUGGUACAGGAUUGGCUUCCUGGUGGAAUCAGGUGCGCGUCGUCCAUGGUGGCCUGUCAUGGGUGUUGGUGGGCGGCUGGAGGCGGCUGUAGCAGGCUCUAGAAUCGCUAAGGUUGCUCCUUCUCUGUUCCUUUGGUCAAGAUGAAUGAGGAAUGGAUAUAGGAGGCAUGGCGCGUAGGGGUCAGCUAGGGCACGACGCAGGAGUCUGCCCAUCUCCUCUCAAAGACCUACUAUGAUGCAUAUUUGAAAGAGUGCAUCUAUUGUUUCUGCUGAAAAUUGAUCUCUAUUUGAAGGAGUGCAUCUAUUAUGCAUCUACACCAGAAGACAGUGUGCUGUUUUUUAUUCCAUGCUCCAAAUAUUUCAUGUCCGAUUCAUAGACAUCCUUGAAUUGCUUAAUGAUGAUGGCAUGUUUGAUGUUCA